GCAAGGAUAGGCACAGGAGCCAUGGUUGGGAGAGGCGCUGCGCUGUACCUCUCCCAACCGUGGCUCCUAUGCCUGCUCUUGC